CCUGACCCCUGACCUCCCUUCUCAUGGGGCCUCUGCAGAGCUGUCUGGCCCCCCAUGUCGCGGGCCUAUUAACAGGCCUCGGCUCACUGUAAUGAUUCCUCUCCUUAUGUCUGUGCAGCUGCUGCAGCGCUGAAUAGAGAGGAUAAAUCUGGGACCUCAACAUCCGCAUCAUUGUUUCACUGCCACUCUCUGCUGUCGUGUGUGGCAGACAGAGCAGGGAAGAGCUGCGGUUCGCUGUCCCUCCCUCCUGUUGACAAUUUAUUUUCUCUGAUUCAACAGAUAUGCUGCUUUUGCCAGCACGUGUCGCAAAUGUCAUUAAGCAAAAAUCGUGAAAUUUCCAACUCAAGGACCUGAUUUUUCAAGAGUCAAAAAAGUUCUUUGCUAAGCUGGAAACUGACAUGAUGGAUUUCAUCCCAUCGUGCUGAAAUUUAAGAUUAUUGUGACCAAAACAUCAGGUGAAACGUGUUACAGUAACUCAGAAGUCCUCCAAACGCUCCAAACAACAAACGCCGCAUGUGCUUGUGAACAUUUGUAUCUGUGUGUACAGUACGUGUCAUGGGGCAGCAGACAGCUGCUGCAGGCUCCAUCAGUCAGCUGCUGUAUUUAUAGGGUGAUGACCACAGAACACCAACAGCUGCAUCACACGGGGACAAACACAGAAAGUGAGAGAGAGGACGCAGGAAUCUUUUCAAUUUCACUGCUGCUCUAAAUGGCUGGAGUAGCCAGUUAAUGCCCAGCCCAGCGCUGAGGCAUAAAGUGCUGUUCUGGUUCAACUGCUAAACUAGAUACGACUGAUCCACAAUGGCACAUUAAGCUAAAACUACAUGUUAAAUCAAACAAAGGUUGAGCUGCAAAACUGCAAAAAAAGUCUAAUUUAGACGCUUGUGAACAUGUUAAUUAAACUUUUCUACAUGUCAGCAGCCAGCCGUGCCAACGCUUUGUUUAAGUGAGUUUCAGAUCAAAUGAGUCAGACCGAGUGUUUUACUGUAGUACUAUUCUAUGACUGCAGAUGAGACAGGAUGCUCUAAAAAUGCAAUUAAUAGUUUAUCUGAUAUGCAGCAAUGAACGGUAUGGCAUCCCGACCCCAGACCACCAUCACGAUGUUGAGGACAGGGCUCUGUGGGGGCCAUACCAUCUGUUGCAGGGCUCCUCCAUGACUCCCCGAUGAUAAUGCACGAUAGACGAUAAUCCAAACUGAUGACAGCUUUUGCACAGUCGUAGAGAUCGAUCUGCUUCGAGGGCAGUAGGUGUAAGAGUUCAGAUAAAUCCCUGUAUAGAAUUAUCACGCUUGAGAUUCCAACCAAAAGUAGAAACAGCGUGGAAGUGCCGAGAAAUGCAGUUGGUCUAGGUCCUGAGUCCAUCUCCACAGAGUCCCAUGAACAUCAUGAAGCAUGUUUACAGUCUGGUAACAAGACGUGCAAAUUAUCCCCGACAGCAGCAAGCCAUGAUGUAAUAGUCAGGUUUAAAGUUGUUCAUGAUACAGAAACAGUCACUUCAAGCCCACAGCAGCGUGUCUGAAUGAAAAGCAUUUAUGCCUCCUGGUCUCCGUACAGUCAAAGAGCCAUGUCAAUGUUAUUUUUCAUGUUGCUCAAGUUGGCAGGGUAAUGCUGCAUGUUGUUAUAUGGGUGUGAUUUGUUGGGAUUUUUUGGGUUUUAUUGGCAAAAAGCAGAGUUACGUUUAGGCACCAGCUGUCACAGUGAGUCAGGCCCUGCAGAGACCAGACGUGUGGCCAGCGUUUAUACUCACUUGUACCUUAAAGAACGCUCCUACAGAUUGUUCCAGUUCACAGUGGAAGAUCCUAGAAAAGCUCAUAGUGAUAUUAAAUAUCUGUUGGUUUUCAGCUCUGCUAAAAAAAAUAAAACAAAGACAGCUGGAACCAAUCAGUGUCUACUAAACUUCACCUCUGCUCAUCUGAACUGGACUCUUUGACUGUAUAUGUACUGCUGGAAGGGAUGUGGUCUUUGUAACAACCGUCUAGGGUAGGUGACCAGCCUCGUUUCCAAAUACGAUCACUUCUGGCUCCAGAAAAGAAAUGUGAUGAUGUCCAACAUAUCAGUGUUUAGUGAAGCAGUUUCAGGGUCUUGGUGUUUGUGCAUCAGGCUCAUGGCACGUAGUGUAAGUGAACCACUUUAACAGAACCACCCAUGCUUUUCCUGCUGCGACCGGUUAAAAUCUUUGCAGUGAAAACACUGCUGAUCCUAAAGGGGCUGCACACCCACAUAGGUGUUUUCACUCAUUAGACUAAUUAGGAGUCUGCUGUAGCUGGAGGUGGGCAGUCCCAUGCUGCAUUUAUGUGUCGCUAGCAAGACAAAUAAAAUAAGCCGCAGCGACGUAUUACCAGUCAAGCAGAAUGUGAGCAGAACGAGAGCUUCUCAGAAAGCAGAGACACAUCUGUGUUACCUGGUAGCAUUAGCUAACAACGGCAGUGUUCACAGUGACAAAUCUCUACUAGUACUGCUGAUGACUGUCAAAUCAUCACUUACCCAUUACUGCCAGGAGUCACCUGUGGAUCCAGGGCUCUGCUUCUGUCCUAAGGAUGGAAAGACGAGACAAGUUAAUAUUGAUAGGCUUCUCUGCCAUCACAGCUGCAGAGUCUGAGACACGGUGAAAUCCAACUAGGAAUGGUUGAUCUGAGCUGCCUGGACGAGUAAACUUAGUUACAACUAGUCUCAAAGCACCAACAAAACAAACGUUUAAAACAGCUGAAAGUAUAUAAUCAGUGCAUGAAGCUUCUUUAAUAGUUACGGUUAAAGUCAGAAAACUCUUUUUUUGUUUUUGAAGUCUAUCAAAGCUUCUGACAAAAAAAAUGCAUUUAUUUGUACACACAAGUUUUAUUUAGUAUCAUAUUUGGUACAGCUGGCAUGUUUCUGCAGUUUUUUAGCUGUGUAAUUAUUUAGGCUGGGAGAGCUGGUCAGACAGUAAGGAUUUUAGGACCACAAAGAUACUUAAGGGAGAACAAAACCAGGAAAAACGUAAAACUGAAUUUAUUGAGAGCUGCUAAAAUGUUUAUGGUUGUAACAACGAUGUCCAUGUGGGAAAAAAUCUCCAGG